AAACAGUCAUCUGUAUAUUACAAUCUAAAAUUAUCAAGAUGAUUAUUCUGACAUACCUACUCUGCGUCUUUUAUCUUUUACAAGGCUCUUAUGGAGAGAUUGUGCUGACUCAGACUCAGGAACAUAUCUCGGUGUCUCCGGGAGGGAAUGUGGUCAUACAUUGUCAAUCAAGUUCUGAUGUCACUGAUUCAGUUGAUGACAGUUGCAUACAUUGGUACCAGAAGAAAACAGAUCAGCCUCCAACAUUGCUUUUCUAUUGGGUGACCAGACGUAAGUCUGGAGUCCCGGACAGGUUUACCAGCAGUAGAUCCGGAUCUCCAUACAGAGAUUUCACUCUAACGAUCAAUGGAGCUCAGGCAGAAGAUGAAGCCAAAUAUUACUGUCAGCAGGGUUGGGAGUUCCCUUUCACACAGUGA